rnacentral:rRNA from 1 species
GAUGAACGCUGGCGGCGUGCCUAACACAUGCAAGUCGAGCGAGAAGUAAAGAAAUGAAGCUUCGGUAGAUUUUCAUUAUGGAAAGCGGCGGACGGGUGAGUAACGCGUAGGCAACCUGCCCUGUACAGGGGGAUAGCCACCCGAAAAGGUGAUUAAUACCCCAUGAUGCAAGAGAUACACAUGUAUCACUUGUCAAAGAUUUAUCGGUAUGGGAUGGGCCUGCGUCUGAUUAGCUAGUUGGUAGGGUAACGGCUUACCAAGGCAACGAUCAGUAGCCGACCUGAGAGGGUGAUCGGCCACAUUGGAACUGAGACACGGUCCAAACUCCUACGGGAGGCAGCAGUGGGGAAUAUUGCACAAUGGGGGAAACCCUGAUGCAGCAACGCCGCGUGAAGGAAGAAGGCCUUCGGGUUGUAAACUUCUGUCCUAGGGGAAGAAACAAAUGACAUACCCUGGAGGAAGCCCCGCA